AAAAGUAAUAAAUACAAACCUUAAACAUGAGUGGUUAUAAGGUUUGCUAUAUGGGAUGUAUAUGUAAAAAUCCAGUAUACUAAUUAAUUGGUUGGCCCAAUACCUUUUAACUAUAGCAUCCAUAGGUCGUGAUAAAGUUUCUUGAAACUAGCCAAAAAAUUAUUUGUUGGAGUUCAUUAGACAUGCCAAAAACCUCAAACAGACGCGACCAACGGCUUCUUCCGACAUUGAUCUCCAUCUCUAGAUGCACCACCAAGUAAUCCUAUAGGUUCAUGGUGCUUCUAAUUAUCACAAAAACCAAAUCAUGGUGAUUGCUGUCAAUGCAUCACCAAGUAAUCCUAUUGGUGGCAAGUCAUGGUGCUUCUAAUUAUCAGUUUCCAAAAACCAAAUCAUGGUGAUUGCUGUCCUUUAAACCACAGUUUAACCCGACAGAAUUGAUGAUAUUAAGGUGUCAAGGAGAAAUAAACUAGCAAAUAUCAAGUGAGUUGGCUCAUCAAUACGCUGUACAAACAAGAAACAAAGGGCAGGUUCUCAUUUACACACAAGGUUUAGGCAUAGUUCUCCUCCACCGUUAUAUCUCAUAAUCAUACAGACAGUUCUGCUCCAUCUUCAUUCCUCAUGAUCAUACAUAGGCACAGUUCUGCUCCGCCUUCAUAUCACAUAAUCUUACACCUCUGUCAUGGGUUCUGCAUACCUUUCUCAUUCCAAAUACAUCGUACUCGGAGAAAUAAAACCUCAGCAUCGUCAGUCCCUCCUACCUUCCCUCGCACCAAAAAUAUCACGAGAUUGAACCUCAUUUUCACUUCGUGCACUCAUGGAACAAUCUGGCGCUAUCCAAUGUCUAUUGCGCUAGAACGAUUGACACAUUCACAUACAUUAUACUUUCUAUUAAUUAGUUAAACAGAUUUACAGGCUAUUGGCCUCCCACAAGGCAAGAGGAGAUUUGAAUCACUAAAAUGCCUCCCCUCUAUAUCCAAAGUUGAUUUACCAGUGGAUGUUACUAGAACUUUUUGUACUGAGCUAAGCUGUCCAAAUGUACAAUUCACCAGCGAUCACCCUUCCAGGGAAUCAUCCAGGAAAUGGAAGAGAAAAGAAUGUGUUCCGGUCCUGCCCGCCACAGAAAAGAGAGGUGAGGGCGCCAAAAAAUUAGGAAUCUGAUAUGAACAAACAUUAAUACAUAUCCGCCACAGAAAAGAAAGAGGUGAGGGCGCCAAAAAAUUAGGAAUCUGAUAUGAACAAACAUUAAUACGAAUUAGCAGAGUGGAGUACCUACCAAUAAGAGAGCUCCUAGGUGCCAGCACUGAUGUAAGAGAGCGGUUUCCUGUUGAUUGAUGUGUGCGCACUAGCAAGAGCUCAUCUUGUCAUCCACAUACUUUGCUGAGCAAAAGUAAUCAUUGUUCUGCCACCAUGGAAUCUGCUCCUAUUCAGAAUCCGAAUCAAUACUUAGAUACAAUCUCGGUCUUACAGAACGACGUUGACGAGGAAAUGUAAAAGGACUAUCUGAUCGUUCUCUAAUGCUC
rnacentral:lncRNA from 1 species